CAAGAGCUGAGGAGAUGCCAGUGGUGGGGGCAGUCCUGAGGAUUCAUGGGAACACCUUGACAUGUGAGUGCCAUGGAGAUCAUCAAGGAACCUGGGAUGCAAAGCCUUCUACAACAGAUGGACCAAGCCGCUGCAGCAUUUACACCUAGAUGCCACAGACUGCCUUCCCUUCCCAUCCACCCCAGCACACAUGGAGAGACUCCAGGAGGUUGGCCUCAAAUCCAAUAUGUAACCAUGGAUGCCUUUGGACUUCUGAUCAUCCAGAUUCUGAUCCUGAGUGUCCCAGGAUUUCAGGUGUACACCACCUUUCCCAAUUUAGGAGGUGCUGAGGACCAAAACCUGGGCUUCAGCACUCUGGGCAAGUACUCUACCAACUAAGCUGUACCUCCAGCCCUAUAAUUCUUUACAAUCAGCCUUUUUACCAUCACUAUGUAGUGUCUGUCUCCUGCUUAGACAGUGGGGAAAUUGGUGGGUUGGUUGGUAAACCAGGUUGGCUGACUAGCAGGAUGGUAGGUGGGUGGGUUUCCUGUUUGGUGAGCAGCUUGCUUUUUAGCUUAGAAAACUAUGGGUUGGCAAUAUGGCAGGAUGUAGGGCAAUAGACUAGUUGACAGUGUGGGUGGUUAGAAGGUGAUUGUUCAGUUGGUUGGAGGCAAUAGCUGGUUCUGGACUAGUUGGAGGAUGGGUGAUGGGUUCAGGCUGCAGGACCAGCAUCAUGUCAAAGGAAAGGAAAAGCUCUUGAGAGGCCCCUGGGGGACUCAGUCUUCACUCGUGCCUCUCCUGAGGAAGCCUGUGGCUCUGCAAGCUAACCCUUCAUAGUCACCUCCUGGGAGCUAGGAAGUCAACACAUUGCAAAGUGACGCCAACACACACAGCACAAAGCCAGGAAGGCUCAGAGCUUGUCUAGGGACCUCUUAUACUUCAUGGCAGAACCCUGAAUGUCUGAGAAGAUACCACCUGAUUGCCCAGCACCCAGACAGCCUACCAAUAAAGGAGGCUUACAAAGUACUGGCCUGCAAUGGGGACUUGUUCUUCUGUCCACAAAACCCCCUAAGAUACGGAGUCCAG
rnacentral:lncRNA from 1 species